CGAUGAUUCGUCGUCGUGUCAGAAAAAUAUUCCACUAGAUCGAUGUUGGAGGUUCUUCAAACUGUAACGAUGAGAGAGCGAACGUAAUCAGCAGAGGACACACAGCAGAACUGGAUAAAUGUAGAGCCUCCCGAGCAAGUCUAUCAUUAUGCACUGGCCAUAGAGGUGCUGAUGAAGCCUCGCCUAGGCUGGGGACCGCUACGAGGUUUGGGGGCACAUCGCACACACACACACGCUCCACACCGCCUACGAGAUCCAAAAUUCAAUGGCAAUUUUCACGCUGCUUUGCGAAUCGGAUUUCCACCUCUUGUUGGUUUGUUCUGGACAGAGCUAUAGCACCAGGCCAAAGGUAAUGAGGCACGACAAAUCGAAAUGGAGGCGAGGAGAGAGCGCACCGACUGAAAUGUAUUAUUAUGCAGCAGGCAGCAGCCAGGCCAACGAGAAGUGAGGUUAAGACGUACCCACACUAUAGAAGGCAGCCGCACACACAGACGAGGGCUGGCAAGCAGCGACGCCCUGUCCACUUGCUGGGCUUACGUUUCGGCUUACGUUACGUUACGCUGAUUUGGAGUUUAAUCAGAAGCGAAACAGAACACGAACAAAAGGCAAUAACAAACGAGAGAGAACAUGUGCAACAGUUGGUUGUUGUAAUUAUUGUUGUUGCGUGCUAACAAUAAACAAAUGCUGGGAAAUUGCAUUAUCUGCCGAUUAUGCAAUAACAAUGCACUGCAAGCAGCAGCAGCUUGCAGCCCUGGCUGAUAAACAGCUGAUUGGACUGCAACUCGCCUCAGAUUUCAAAAGAUGCACGCGGGACACAACACAACCUAAAAGUAUACCACACACACACACACAUACACACACACUAAACACUAAUACGCACCAAUAAUGGAAAUUCAAAAUACGUGGAGUUGCUCCUAUUCGGGUUGCAAAAGGGGACAAACAACAACACGCGGAGAGCCUGCCACAAAAAGAAGAAAGAAUUGUGGUACACAAAUUCCCUUUCCCUUCUUGCCGACUUGUGCUUGUGCGCCGCGCUCUCACUGCUUUACACUACUUUGGCUCUGCUUUGCGUUCACUCUUCACUACGCACUUCUUACGCUGCUGCUGUUGUUGUUGUUGUUGUUGCUGUUGUUUCGUAUGCUUUUGGCUUUUGCGGGUUUUCUUUUCUCUCUCACUCGUCGCACACUUUGCACUCGCCCUCUCGCUCACACUCACUCACGCGCUAGUGUGGUAGAACGUUUUGGUUACGAAUAUUGCCCCGAAUGUGAUUUUUCACACAAUUGUGUCGCAAAUUGAAAUGAUUUUUCAAUUGUUUGUCGUUACCGUGCAGUUGAUCUAGCGAUCUGCUAUAUUUCUGCAGCACUUUGCCACAUUAUACCGCCGAAAAGAGAAAUAUUGUAAAAUCUUGGUGCCCAGACAUGUGGUUUUUCGGAAAUUUCUGAACUCGAACAUGUGCUGUCGCUGUUUACGGGCCGCGGCGAGAGGCGUAAAAGGCUGAAUUCGUCAAUCCGCUUUUGGGGGUACUCGCUGGGGCGCCCUACUCGCUGGGAAACUUUUGAGGAAACAUGGGGUAUGGCCAACAGGCAACGGUUCACAGAAAAUUCAACGAGUUCUAGAAGAGAGCUGCAGUGUGACCGCAUACCAUCGGAAAUAUACCGAAAUACGCCAAAAAUACCUUCUCAUUUUCCAAACAUGAUGAACAAAACGAACUAAGCCCGCUUAAGCCCCUCUAUUUAAA